UGCAAGUCGAGCGGUAGCACAGAGAGCUUGCUCUCGGGUGACGAGCGGCGGACGGGUGAGUAAUGUCUGGGAAACUGCCUGAUGGAGGGGGAUAACUACUGGAAACGGUAGCUAAUACCGCAUAACGUCGCAAGACCAAAGUGGGGGACCUUCGGGCCUCAUGCCAUCAGAUGUGCCCAGAUGGGAUUAGCUAGUAGGUGGGGUAACGGCUCACCUAGGCGACGAUCCCUAGCUGGUCUGAGAGGAUGACCAGCCACACUGGAACUGAGACACGGUCCAGACUCCUACGGGAGGCAGCAGUGGGGAAUAUUGCACAAUGGGCGCAAGCCUGAUGCAGCCAUGCCGCGUGUGUGAAGAAGGCCUUCGGGUUGUAAAGCACUUUCAGCGGGGAGGAAGGCGAUAAGGUUAAUAACCUUGUCGAUUGACGUUACCCGCAGAAGAAGCACCGGCUAACUCCGUGCCAGCAGCCGCGGUAAUACGGAGGGUGCAAGCGUUAAUCGGAAUUACUGGGCGUAAAGCGCACGCAGGCGGUCUGUCAAGUCGGAUGUGAAAUCCCCGGGCUCAACCUGGGAACUGCAUUCGAAACUGGCAGGCUAGAGUCUUGUAGAGGGGGGUAGAAUUCCAGGUGUAGCGGUGAAAUGCGUAGAGAUCUGGAGGAAUACCGGUGGCGAAGGCGGCCCCCUGGACAAAGACUGACGCUCAGGUGCGAAAGCGUGGGGAGCAAACAGGAUUAGAUACCCUGGUAGUCCACGCCGUAAACGAUGUCGAUUUGGAGGUUGUGCCCUUGAGGCGUGGCUUCCGGAGCUAACGCGUUAAAUCGACCGCCUGGGGAGUACGGCCGCAAGGUUAAAACUCAAAUGAAUUGACGGGGGCCCGCACAAGCGGUGGAGCAUGUGGUUUAAUUCGAUGCAACGCGAAGAACCUUACCUGGUCUUGACAUCCACAGAACUUAGCAGAGAUGCUUUGGUGCCUUCGGGAACUGUGAGACAGGUGCUGCAUGGCUGUCGUCAGCUCGUGUUGUGAAAUGUUGGGUUAAGUCCCGCAACGAGCGCAACCCUUAUCCUUUGUUGCCAGCGGUUAGGCCGGGAACUCAAAGGAGACUGCCAGUGAUAAACUGGAGGAAGGUGGGGAUGACGUCAAGUCAUCAUGGCCCUUACGACCAGGGCUACACACGUGCUACAAUGGCAUAUACAAAGAGAAGCGACCUCGCGAGAGCAAGCGGACCUCAUAAAGUAUGUCGUAGUCCGGAUUGGAGUCUGCAACUCGACUCCAUGAAGUCGGAAUCGCUAGUAAUCGUAGAUCAGAAUGCUACGGUGAAUACGUUCCCGGGCCUUGUACACACCGCCCGUCACACCAUGGGAGUGGGUUGCAAAAGAAGUAGGUAGCUUAACCUUCGGGAGGGCGC
rnacentral:rRNA from 1 species